UGACCUCUAGGGUAAUUGGCAACCCGACUCUUUUUGGUAGAGUAGAAUUCUUGUUCGAAUCAAGAGAGGUCAG
rnacentral:tRNA from 1 species